rnacentral:rRNA from 1 species
CAGCAGCCACGGUAAUACGGAGGGGGCUAGCGUUGUUCGGAAUUACUGGGCGUAAAGCGCACGUAGGCGGCUUGGUAAGUUAGAGGUGAAAGCCUGGAGCUCAACUCCAGAAUUGCCUUUAAGACUGCCGAGCUAGCAGGUGAGAGAGGUAAGUGGAAUUCCGAGUGUAGAGGUGAAAUUCGUAGAUAUUCGGAGGAACACCAGUGGCGAAGGCGGCUCACUGGUCCAUUACUGACGCUGAGGUGCGAAAGCGUGGGGAGCAAACAGGAUUAGAUACCCCCGUAGUCCCUGUCUCUUAUAC